UUUUAAUUAAAAUUCUCUUAAGUUCGCCUUGAUUUAAUUCUAUAUUUUGAGUUUUAUUUGUUUUAAUUGAAUUUUGUAAUCGAAAAUACUCUUCUUCGUUUGGGUGACAAUCACAUUUCCGCGGUUCAAUUGCAAAUGGCCGAAGAUCGAAUUUUGGAGACAUGUAUAAACAAACUAUCUUUGACGUCAUCACUUAUGAUUAAACCCUAUUUGAAAGAUGCAAGAUUCUUACACGUGUGUCGCAUGCUUGGGGGUGUAAAUUGGACCCCAAACUUAUCAACACGUUGGUCGAAAUAUGGAGACCCGAGGCACACACAUUUCAUCUUCCAUGUUGUGAGUGUACAAUCACACUCAAGGACAUUCAUUUGCCACUCGGUUUAUCGGUGGAUGGGCUAGCCGUUACGGGAUCAGUGGUCAUUGGCGAUUGGAGUGGCAUUUGCGAGCAACUAUUAGGCAAGGUGUUAGACAAGUUUUUCGGUAGGCAGAUAAAAAUGAAAUGGUUGCAAGAAAAUUUUCAAUAUCUCUACAAAAGUUGGAGUCCCAUUGAAAGAGAACAACAUUCCCGAGCAUACAUCUUGAGAUUAAUCGAAGGUGUUCUGAUUCCCAAUAAAUCUCGAACUCUUAUACAUUUAAGGUGGCUGCUAGAACUCAUCGACUUGAAAGAAGCAUGUCAACUUAGUUGGGGAUCAAUUGUGUUAGAGAUAUUGUAGUGAAAGAUGUGUCGGGUGAUACAACCACAAAAAAAUUCAAAUUGUUGGUUGCGAACUCCUUCAGCAGUCAUAGGCAUAGUUUUGACUACCAUUUUUACAUCAUCAAGCCGACUACCCUUAUACUUUCUCACUCAUAACAAGGAAAAAUUAAUUCGAUAAUAUAGUUAUCAUAAUAUUAUUUUAUUAUUAUAUUCAAAAAAACAUAUUAUUUGAAUAGGUGGAACCAUAGAGCAAGUUAUGUGGGACUACCCGAGGAGCUCGAAGAUAUUCAGCUAUUGUUAGAUCAACAAUCGGAAGCGAAGUUUGAAUGAACGUCAUACUCCGAUCCAAGAAUUCAACAAUGCAUCUCGUUCGAAUUCUUAGUCAAUCCCAAUAUCUAGCACGUGAAGGUGUCAUUAAUAGUUUAUGCCACGAUGGAGAUGCACGAAUUCAAUUGAGUGAUGCAGCAGUUCAAGUUUAUGCAAACUAUUCUGCCGCCACUCCAAAACAUCGAAGCACUGCACAAUGGUCGACUUGCAGUGGAGAACAGAUGAAGAUUGGCCUAAAUUCCACAAUGAACGUAUCAAUAUUUGGGAGCAUAGGUACGAUUUCAUACUUAUUCGCGAGCCAAUUAUCACUCGGGAAUUGACCACCACUCUAAAGUACAUGUCAUGGUUUACACACCACGACAAGCCAUAUCUACUGCCAAAGGAGGAAAGGGGUAGGCAAAGUCGCACGAGGAAGUGUAGAGAUGGGAUCAUCAUCAACUCCAACCCAACAAGAGGCACAAAUAGUUGCACUACAUCCCGGUCAAUAUGGCUUGACUUAUUCUAGUACUUUCACUAACCCCAUAUUUUUUACACAAGCACCACACUAUACACCACCAUACCCUACUUCAAAACCUUCGACAAGUAUGUUUUCUGCACCACCUUCGUCUCCAGUAUAUUAUACCCAAUGUCGAUGACAACACCAAUGUAUUCGCCACCUCUGACAAUUCUACCAUAUUAUCCUCAACCAAUGUAUAUGACACCAUACGUUUAUACGCCAAUAAUGUCAGAAACACCCCCGACAUCAUUCUUUUACCAAGGCGACUCAUCUUCGCAACCACAUGUUCGUAGAAUGGAGGACACACUAUGGCAACCUAGGACGACACCACACUCAACCAUAGAGGAAGGAGAUCAACAUUAACAUGAUGGUCGAUGUGAAAAUGAAGACGAAGAAGAGGAUUCGUAACCUCAACUCGUACGAAGAAGAAAUCUGUCUCACAACCAACAUCCAUCGGGCUAUGGCACACAUUUGGCCCGACGAUGCCGAUGAUUUUUUUCCAAU